AACAUCGCGCACCUGCGGGAACCUGCGGAGGGAUCAUCGUGGGAUAGCUUAUAUUUUAACCGUGUGAACGGUACUGGGGGUGAGUGGGCGGGGGUGGGAUGUGAUGUGGGAGCUGGGAGCGGCAUAGGGGGCACUAGUACGAGCGUGCUCGAGCGUGCACCCUCGGUCACGCCCAGCUUCAAUGUCACGCAUCCUCGCACACACGCACCCACUAAUAAUGCAUACACUCUAAACACGCGC
rnacentral:misc_RNA from 1 species